CCAGACUCCUACGGGAGGCAGCAGUGGGGAAUAUUGCACAAUGGGGGAAACCCUGAUGCAGCGACGCCGCGUGAAGGAAGAAGUAUUUCGGUAUGUAAACUUCUAUCAGCAGGGAAGAAAAUGACGGUACCUGACUAAGAAGCCCCGGCUAACUACGUGCCAGCAGCCGCGGUAAUACGUAGGGGGCAAGCGUUAUCCGGAUUUACUGGGUGUAAAGGGAGCGUAGGCGGUAAUGCAAGUCAGAAGUGAAAGCCCGGGGCUCAACUCCGGGACUGCUUUUGAAACUGUGUUACUAGAUUGCAGGAGAGGUAAGUGGAAUUCCUAGUGUAGCGGUGAAAUGCGUAGAUAUUAGGAGGAACACCGGCGGCGAAGGCGGCCUGCUGGACCGUGACUGACGUUGAGGCUCGAGAGCGUGGGGAGCAAACAGGAUUAGAUACCCGCGUAC
rnacentral:rRNA from 1 species